GUGUUACUAGUAUUACUAGUAGUCAGUUGAAGCUCCUUCUCCACUCUAACUAACUAUUACUUAUUCUAGUUACAAAUAGCGCAGAUUUUAGAUUGUGGUGGUAAUUUCCGAACCACUCGCAUAGAUUCCCACCCAAGCCAAGGUAAACAGUGCUAACGGUUCGCUGCAUGCUGCAAGCUCAUCACUGUCAGUGGUCCAACUUGUACUAAGUAAUUAGUUGUAGCCCUUGGAAUCAUGGCCAGGACAAGUUCUUUAUCAUGUCAGCUCUGUGGCCAGACCUGACCGUAUUGUCGAAAUUGGACGUUGCACACGUCUAACCGGUAUGCUCAAGUAGUUGUCAGUAGCGGAAGCAGCAGCAUUUAUGGCCGGCUGUGAGUGCGAGCGGAGAUUGAUUGCACUACUGCAUUGUAGGCGAUUGUAAUCUAGCUGCCUGAGUAUGGUCAUCACAAGGCAUGGAGGAGUCACUGUAUUCACCGUCAGUAUCUGCGGACAGGUCUAGUAUGACCAUAUGGCUCAGUUAUCACAUACAGCCUGAUGAAGCCAUCGUAUACUCAGCACCAGGUACAAUCCAGUGUGAUUGAUGGGGAUCAGAUGAAUGGCUGGUAUUGUGCACAUCACGAUCUUGGCUGUGGCGCGGUUCUGUCUACAGCUUGUUGGUUCGUUUUACCUGGUGAUCGUGAACUGCUGCAAGAAGGUCUCUCAAGCAUGUGUAUCGAUGAUCGUUGGAGGAAGCGACCAGCGCGAACAGCUCAGUCAAUCAGUCAAGUCAUGCCAGCAGCUCAGCCAACAAUUUAGUGUAUGCCAGCAGCCCAGCCUGUAAGCAAUUCUGUGUCAGGAGACCAGUCAAAAAGUUCGGUGUGUGCCAGCAGUGGCCAAUCUAGCAAGUCAGUGUGUGUGUGGGACCUGCCCAGUAGCUACUCAAGCUGCCAACUGGCCACUGGUUAGGGUGGCAGCCGGUGGACGAAAGAGAGCCGUGUGGUGUGGCGCCUUUGUGAUGCCGAACAGAGACAGAACUUGAGCAGUGGACCAGUGGUGGAAAGUACCUUCCCAAGUCUCUACACUAGUAAGUGACUGUGGCCCCUGUGGAGUCUGAACAAUACCGGAGCCGAGCUAAGUACUACUUCGAGUAUCAGAAUAGAUUCAUUGUUCUUUUUUCCUGAUGAUGGCCAUGUGCCGAAACAUUGUAAAGUAACGGAGCUGGUUGGGAUGUGCAGCGCUAUGGGAAUGGGUGUGUCCACCCGAACUCCUUUCAGAACAUAGAUAUCCUGUAAAAAGAUAUGUUUGCCUUCACCUGCUGGGGUUGGGUUUUUGCAAGAUGCCUCUGUAUGUGUGCUUUGAUCCUCGGAUACGUACAUUGUUGCUCGAUGCAGUCCGAUCCCUUGAGUCAAGUUUUCGCCCUGCACCAGUUCACAUCCCAUUAUUGCCAGGUCAAGAGCUGCAUAGCACCUGGCAUGUAUACUUGACUCAUGCGAUCAUAUAUAAGAAUUCAUUGGGCACGGCUGCACAUUCCUCUAUCAUGCUGAGUGAGAUGUUGCGGAUAGGAAAAUUUAAUGAUGAAUCACAUCUCGAUACCCUUGCUCAGUGCUUUCAGGAUCUACUACUGUGUGACUGCUAUCCAUUGCCAUGGCAUUUCCUUUCUGCAUUCUACAUACAUAUUUGAUUUAUUUCCUGCUGCUUCUGCUGCUACAUGACUGUGUGUGCGUAGGACUGCGGGUUCCAACUACUCUGUCAGCCUUUUCAUAGCAACCACAACUUUGCCUUGCUAAGAUCAUGCUGGGCUCAAGAAAAUUGGUUGCCAUGGAAAACAUUUUCCCGUCCCGGCAUUAUGUGUCGGCGGGGUCGAACUCUUUGCAUCUGCGGCGUGAGCGAUCAUUCCCAUGUUCUUCUCUUAGUGUCUUCAUCAUAUCUUUUGUUUGUGUUUCAAUGAACAUAUUGCUGCGCAAGUUCUUGCCGUCAGCAGGAUCUGCGAACAUA